GAUGAACGCUGGCGGCGUGCCUAAUACAUGCAAGUCGAGCGAACAGACGAGGAGCUUGCUCCUUCGACGUUAGCGGCGGACGGGUGAGUAACACGUAGGUAACCUACCUAUAAGACUGGGAUAACUUCGGGAAACCGGAGCUAAUACCGGAUAAUAUUUCGAACCGCAUGGUUCGAUAGUGAAAGAUGGCUUUGCUAUCACUUAUAGAUGGACCUGCGCCGUAUUAGCUAGUUGGUAAGGUAACGGCUUACCAAGGCAACGAUACGUAGCCGACCUGAGAGGGGGAUCGGACACACUGGAACUGAGACACGGUACAGACUACUACGGGAGGCAGCAGUAGGGAAUCUUACGCAAUGGGCGAAAGCCUGACGGAGCAACGCCGCGUGAGUGAUGAAGGUCUUAGGAUCGUAAAACUCUGUUAUUAGGGAAGAACAAACGUGUAAGUAACUGUGCACGUCUUGACGGUACCUAAUCAGAAAGCCACGGCUAACUACGUG
rnacentral:rRNA from 1 species